UGUGGUUGCACCUGGGCUCGUAGCAGGUGGCGAGGGAGAAGAAAGAGCUAGAGCUUUCAUCUUCGGAGGGGUGUUUCCGGGAAAUUUAACUGGAGUGCGGGGGUAGGCUGGCGGCUGGUGGUCGGCGUCUCCCCGGCACCUGCGCUCACGUGGGCUUUGGGGCAGGCGCUGCGGCCUGGUGUUCCACCGUCUGGCGGGGCCGCGUGGGGCAGGACUCAUGGUUUUCGUGUUUUUCCGGCAGGGCCACGAUCCGUGAAGGCCGGGACCCGGUUACCGGGCCCUUCGUGGGAAGUGAGCAAGCUGGAGAACCGGAUGCCAUACUCCCUGCAGAGUGUUGAAGACAGCGUAAUUAUGAGUCAACAAGUCCUCACCAGUUGCUACUUCCAGGAAUAAAUUUGUCUGAACUGUGGCCUAAUUGCUGUAUUCAUCCAGGUUGCAAAUAAGGGAAGGAUUACCAGCAUGUUCGAAUGCUGAGUACUGGAGCCAGGAGCAUUGGCCUUCAUGAGGUUUUGAAAACUGAGUGCUGCAGUGCAUAGAUUGAGCAGCCAUAGCAGCUCAGGCAAAGCAGAAAAGGCUGCAUCCCCAGAGGAUAGAUGUCAGUUUGUGAAGGACCAAGAGCUGCUAUCAACUUGGAUUCUGAAAACCUAACUGUUGAACAUUUGGUGUAGAAGUAUGCCUUGUGUAUCAGGACAUUCUCAACAAAGCUAAGAGAUGUAUUGGGCAACGGUUUUCUGUAACUGGCACAUUUGGUAUCAUUCAUUAAAUUUUCUAGCAUUGUCCCUUGCCAGCCUAUCCAAUAGGAGCUUAUACAAAUUGGUUGUUACGUUGGGAGUUAGUUCUUUAAAAUGGAAAUUGUUAGUUCCCCUUGAGUAAUGUUUUCAUUUAGUUACCAUGAACUAAUACCGUAAUAAAGAAUGGUCUUUGGUAAUUGG